rnacentral:rRNA from 1 species
CGGGGUGCACCAGGCGCGAAAACUUUACAAUGCUGGCAACAGCGAUAAGGGGACCUCGAGUGCCAGGAUACAAUCUUGGCUGUCGUGAUGCCUAAAAAGCAUUACAUAGCAAGGGCCGGGCAAGACCGGUGCCAGCCGCCGCGGUAACACCGGCGGCUCGAGUGGUAACCGCUAUUAUUGGGUCUAAAGGGUCUGUAGCCGGCCGGAUAAGUCUCUUGGGAAAUCCAGCAGCUCAACUGUUGGGCUUCCAGGGGAUACUGUUCGGCUCGAGGCCGGGAGAGGUGAGAGGUACUUCAGGGGUAGGGGUGAAAUCUUGUAAUCCUUGAAGGACCACCAGUGGCGAAGGCGUCUCACCAGAACGGUCCUGACGGCAAGGGACGAAAGCUAGGGGCACGAACCGGAUUAGAUACCCGGGUAGUCCUAGCCGUAAACGAUACUCGCUAGGUGUCAGCCACGGUGCGACCGUGGUUGGUGCCGUAGGGAAGCCGUGAAGCGAGCCACCUGGGAAGUACGGCCGCAAGGCUGAAACUUAAAGGAAUUGGCGGGGGAGCACAAGGGCGAAUCGCG